GUGAAUAUAGCUCAGUGGUAGAGUGCAUGCUUAGCAUGCACGAGGUCCUGGGUUCAAUCCCCAGUACCUCCA
rnacentral:tRNA from 1 species